AACGUAGGUGGCGAGCGUUAUCCGGAUUUACUGGGCGUAAAGCGUGUGCAGGCGGGGGGAUAAGUGGUGUAUGAAAUCUCUGGGCUUAACUCGGAGGGGUUAUGCCAGACUGUCACUCUAGAGUGCGAGAGAGGAACGUGGAAUUCCGGGUGUAGUGGUGAAAUGCGUAGAGAUCCGGAGGAACCCCAGAGGCGAAGGCGGCGUUCUGGACCGACAUUGACGCUGAGGAGCGAAAGCCAGGGGAGCAAACGGG
rnacentral:rRNA from 1 species